UCUGCCCCUAGAGGGAUUGCAGGUGUGGCUGCUGUGUCACGUGUGCAUCAGUGGGUGGCAGAAAGGACAGAGGCUAUGUCUACAUUUAGUGUUCUGCCCUGUGAACAUCUGAAUUAUUAGUAGCAUGGCGUU
ensembl:snoRNA LOC120102043 small nucleolar RNA SNORA17